rnacentral:lncRNA from 1 species
GCAAGAUCGCGUCACUCCAAAAGGAGCCACGUUGGCGAUCCGCGUGGGUGCGAUCCGACGGCCCAGAUCAAUCGCGCGAUCGGACGGUCCAGAUUCAAACGCACGGACGGCCCAGAUUCAAUCAAAAACGAACGGCCCAGAUUAAAACGAAACGAACGGCUGUGAUCAAAAGGCAAGGGGUUAUAAAUAGAACCCCCACACCAGACCACAAACCCUAGCCGCCAGCCGCUCGCCGGAGAAGACGAACCAGAGGCCGACUGCCGCCACCCGCCGCCACUCGCCGCCGCACCGGGGAAAUUUCCGACCGUCGAUCGAGGUAAAUUUCAUACCCCCGACUCGUUUUUCCCCACUGAUUCCUCCUAUGGCCAAAUCGAAGCCGAAAUCCCGGCCAAACGGCCGGAAUACGCGGCCGAAGCCCAGCGGCGCCGCCGCGCCCCCUCUCGAUUUUUGCCUCCGACGAGGCCCUUCCCGGCCUCCGUUCGAUGCAAUUUUUAUAUCACCGUGAUCACCAUUCUUUUCUCUACAGGUUGACCGAAGCCAAAUCACCAAAACACGAACCUCGCCGGAGAGUCGCCGUACCCGAGAGCGCCGCCGCCGGUAAGCUCCGCUUUUCCGUGAUUUUUUGGCCCCCCGAGGGCCCUAGGGUUGUUUCCUGACAAGGACCAAUGCGAGUGUGGCCGAAUUCGGCCAAAAACGGCCGAAAACAGUCAACCCGAGGCGACUCGCCGCCGCCAGCGGCGGCGCCGUCGCCGGAGCACGGCGGAGCCGCCGUGCCGGAGUUGCGAUUUGGGCCGAAAGAGGCCCUGGGCCUAAUUUGGAUUUUUUUUGGAACACGUGCAGGUACUGUUAGUGUGUUUCAGUUCCCCGGGAAAAAUUCAGGGAAAAUUAGGGACAGCCUGCAGGCGCACUGUGAAUCGUAUUCGGAUCCCGAAAACAAGUAAGGACCCCUCACCCUAUUUCCUAUCACGGUAUUAAAGUUCAAAAUGAUAAAACGGUAUUUCUUGAAUUAAUGCAUGUGUGAAAUUGCUUAAGGUUGCUAAUGGAGCCCGAGUCUAGUGUGAUUGAUGAUUUACUGUUAUUUGGCAUGUUUUACACUGUUUUACAGCUUUAAAUGCAUUAUGGGGUUUGAUGUGUUCAUUUUAUAGUUUCGAAUGCAUAUAUUAUUGUUUUAUUAAUUAUGGGUUGAAUGACUGAAGAACUGAUACUGUAUGUUGUCUGUUCGGCAUGAAUUACAAUUUGCUUGUUUAAAUGUGAAUUGAUGAUGCUUAUUGAGGAAAAAGGGAAAUGAAACAUUGUAUAGACUGAUAAUUGUAUGACGGGGUCAGCCUGACUAGAUAUCCUGGGAGAUGGUGGACGGACCGGGUCCGUAGGGAACCCUACCGGGAUUGUGGUCUCACAUGCCGGACGGGGUAUGGAGAUCUUAUGGUUUUGGCGCCCAUACCGGACGGGGUAUGGGGACGGCCCGUUUCACCCUCAUACCGGACGGGGUAUUGAGGUUUAUGGUUUUGGCGCCCAUACCGGACGGGGUAUGGGGACGGCCCUGGAAACUGAUUAUGAAUGUUAAAGGUUAACGGGUAGCGGGACCCCUAGGGACCCCCAUGGAUACUAGUAGGCUGGUAAAUGAGAAUAGAAUAUGUUGUAUAAUGAUUGAAUUACAAAAGGCGUGAUAAGUGCUAUGUUUUACAGCUUAUAUUAUUCCAUGAUUGUGAUAAUGUUAUUAUUUUUCUUAUAUUGUUUUCAUAAAUUCCACCGAGGUAAGUGGAUGGUAAAGGUUUUCAUGUUAAUAAACGAGUUUAUUGUAAAUUAUGCUCCAUUGGUCUUUUUGUGUUUUCUACCCACCUUUACCUCCGUGACGGUGAGAUAUCGUGAUGUUCUUACUGGGCUAGUGUAGCUCACUCCUUAUUUAACCAUUUCAGAUCAGGAAGACAUGGUUCCCGAGCCCGUUCCGCAGGAGGACGACGAAGGGGAUACCUAGAGACUCUGUAGUCAUAC